CCCCCAGAGGUAUUGCAGGCGUGGCUGCUGUGUCAUGUAUGUUAGUAGUUGACAGAGAGGAGAGAAGUUAUGUCUGUGCUCAGUGUUCUGACCUGUGAACCUCUGAAUGAUUACUAGCCUAACAUU
rnacentral:snoRNA from 1 species